rnacentral:rRNA from 1 species
GAUGAACGCUAGCUACAGGCUUAACACAUGCAAGUCGAGGGGCAGCAUGGUCUUAGCUUGCUAAGGCCGAUGGCGACCGGCGCACGGGUGAGUAACACGUAUCCAACCUGCCGUCUACUCUUGGACAGCCUUCUGAAAGGAAGAUUAAUACAAGAUGGCAUCAUGAGUCCACAUGUUCACAUGAUUAAAGGUAUUCCGGUAGACGAUGGGGAUGCGUUCCAUUAGAUAGUAGGCGGGGUAACGGCCCACCUAGUCUUCGAUGGAUAGGGGUUCUGAGAGGAAGGUCCCCCACAUUGGAACUGAGACACGGUCCAAACUCCUACGGGAGGCAGCAGUGAGGAAUAUUGGUCAAUGGGCGAGAGCCUGAACCAGCCAAGUAGCGUGAAGGAUGACUGCCCUAUGGGUUGUAAACUUCUUUUAUAAAGGAAUAAAGUCGGGUAUGCAUACCCGUUUGCAUGUACUUUAUGAAUAAGGAUCGGCUAACUCCGUGCCAGCAGCCGCGGUAAUACGGAGGAUCCGAGCGUUAUCCGGAUUUAUUGGGUUUAAAGGGAGCGUAGAUGGAUGUUUAAGUCAGUUGUGAAAGUUUGCGGCUCAACCGUAAAAUUGCAGUUGAUACUGGAUAUCUUGAGUGCAGUUGACGGCAGGCGGAAUUCGUGGUGUAGCGGUGAAAUGCUUAGCAUAUCACGAAGAACUCCGAUUGCGAAGGCAGCCUGCUAAGCUGCAACUGACAUUGAGGCUCGAAAGUGUGGGUAUCGAACAGGAUUAGAUACCCUGGUAGUCCACACGGUAAACGAUGAAUACUCGCUGUUUGCGAUAUACGGCAAGCGGCCAAGCGAAAGCGUUAAGUAUUCCACCUGGGGAGUACGCCGGCAACGGUGAAACUCAAAGGAAUUGACGGGGGCCCUCACAAGCGGAGGAACAUGUGGUUUAAUAUCGACUGAUACGCGAGGAACCUUACCCGGGCUUAAAUUGCAGAUGAAUUACGGUGAAAGCCGUAAGCCGCAAGGCAUCUGUGAAGGUGCUGCACUGGUUGUCGUCAGCUCGUGCCGUGAGGUGUCGGCUUAAGUGCCAUAACGAGCGCAACCCUUGUUGUCAGUUACUAACAGGUUCCAGCUGAGGACUCUGACAAGACUGCCAUCGUAAGAUGUGAGGAAGGUGGGGAUGACGUCAAAUCAGCACGGMCCUUACGUCCGGGGCUACACACGUGUUACAAUGGGGGGUACAGAGGGCCGCUACCACGCGAGUGGAUGCCAAUCCCAAAAACCUCUCUCAGUUCGGACUGGAGUCUGCAACCCGACUCCACGAAGCUGGAUUCGCUAGUAAUCGCGCAUCAGCCACGGCGCGGUGAAUACGUUCCCGGGCCUUGUACACACCGCCCGUCAAGCCAUGGGAGCCGGGGGUACCUGAAGUGCGUAACCGCGAGGAGCGCCCUAGGGUAAAACUGGUGACUGGGGCUAAGUCGUAACAAGGUA